GGGCUUGACAUCCCACGAACCUGCCCGAAAAGGUGGGGUGCCCGCAAGGGAGCGUGGAGACAGGUGGUGCAUGGCUGUCGUCAGCUCGUGUCGUGAGAUGUUGGGUUAAGUCCCGCAACGAGUGCAACCCUCACCCCUAGUUGCCACCGGGUUAAGCCGAGCACUCAAGGGGAACUGCCAGCGUCAAGCUGGAGGAAGGCGGGGAUGACGUCAAGUCAUCAUGCCCCUUACGCCCUGGGCUACACACGUGCUACAAUGGCCAGUACAAAGGGACGCGAGACUGCGAAGUGGAGCUAAUCCCAAAAAGCUGGUCUAAGUUCAGAUUGCAGUCUGCAACUCGACUGCAUGAAGGAGGAAUCGCUAGUAAUCGCGUAUCAGCCCGGCGCGGUGAAUACGUUCCCGGGCCUUGUACACACCGCCCGUCACACCACGAAAGCUGUCUGUACUCGAAGUCGCUGAG
rnacentral:rRNA from 1 species